CCCAAAUGGCUCCCUAAUGAACAAAACGUGCACAGUGUAGGGUGGAGAUGCCAAUUAUAUCAUAUCAUAUGAGUGCACUUAUUUGGGGAGUAGAGAGCAAUUUGGAAUUUGGCAGAUUUGCCUGGUUGCUCCUGGGAAAAUACCACACUGUUCAUGUUUUCUGUGGAACCUGGCAGAAAACCGUGUAAUAUUCACUCCAAGAUAUCUGAGAAAAAUAAAUGUAAAAACAUUUUUAUUGUUUACUUUCA